rnacentral:rRNA from 1 species
CCUACGGGAGGCAGCAGUAGGGAAUAUUGCUCAAUGGGGGAAACCCUGAAGCAGCAACGCCGCGUGGAGGAUGAAGGUUUUCGGAUUGUAAACUCCUUUUGUUAGAGAAGAUAAUGACGGUAUCUAACGAAUAAGCACCGGCUAACUCCGUGCCAGCAGCCGCGGUAAUACGGAGGGUGCAAGCGUUACUCGGAAUCACUGGGCGUAAAGAGCGCGUAGGCGGGAUAGCAAGGCAGAUGUGAAAUCCUAGGGCUUAACCAUAGAACUGCAGUUGAAACUGUUAUUCUAGAGUAUGGGAGAGGUAGGUGGAAUUCUUGGUGUAGGGGUAAAAUCCGUAGAGAUCAAGAGGAAUACUCAUUGCGAAGGCGACCUGCUAGAACAUAACUGACGCUGAUGCGCGAAAGCGUGGGGAGCAAACAGGAUUAGAUACCCGGGUAGUC